rnacentral:miRNA from 1 species
GCUGACACAUUCCAGCCAAUCAGCAGCAGACCCUCCCUCCCAGACCCUCCCACCUCCUGGACAGCUCACUAAGAAUGCAGCUUCAAAAUGGAUGCUGUCCAGGAGGUGGGAGGGACUGGGAGGGAGGGUCUGCUGCUGAUUGGCUGGAAUGUGUCAG